AGUGAACGCUGGCGGCAUGCCUAACACAUGCAAGUCGAACGAGAUCUUCGGGUCUAGUGGCGCACGGGUGCGUAACGCGUGGGAAUCUGCCCUUUGGUUCGGAAUAACAGUUGGAAACGACUGCUAAUACCGGAUGAUGACGAAAGUCCAAAGAUUUAUCGCCAGAGGAUGAGCCCGCGUAGGAUUAGCUAGUUGGUGUGGUAAAGGCGCACCAAGGCGACGAUCCUUAGCUGGUCCGAGAGGAUGAUCAGCCACACUGGGACUGAGACACGGCCCAGACUCCUACGGGAGGCAGCAGUGGGGAAUAUUGGACAAUGGGCGAAAGCCUGAUCCAGCAAUGCCGCGUGAGUGAUGAAGGCCUUAGGGUUGUAAAGCUCUUUUACCCGGGAUGAUAAUGACAGUACCGGGAGAAUAAGCUCCGGCUAACUCCGUGCCAGCAGCCGCCGUAA
rnacentral:rRNA from 1 species